rnacentral:rRNA from 1 species
CCUACGGGUGGCUGCAGUGGGGAAUAUUGGACAAUGGGCGAAAGCCUGAUCCAGCCAUGCCGCGUGUGUGAAGAAGGCCUUCGGGUUGUAAAGCACUUUCAGAGGGGAAGAACGCCUUGGGGCUAAUACCCUCGAGGAAGGACAUCACCCACAGAAGAAGCACCGGCUAACUCCGUGCCAGCAGCCGCGGGAAUACGGAGGGUGCGAGCGUUAAUCGGAAUUACUGGGCGUAAAGCGCGCGUAGGCGGUCUGAUAAGCCGGUUGUGAAAGCCCCGGGCUCAACCUGGGAACGGCAUCCGGAACUGUCAGGCUAGAGUGCAGGAGAGGAAGGUAGAAUUCCCGGUGUAGCGGUGAAAUGCGUAGAGAUCGGGAGGAAUACCAGUGGCGAAGGCGGCCUUCUGGACUGACACUGACGCUGAGGUGCGAAAGCGUGGGUAGCAAACAGGAUUAGAUACCCCGGUAGUC